rnacentral:rRNA from 1 species
AUACCUAUAACGUUGCCUCGGCGGGAACAGACGGCCCCGUAACACGGGCCGCCCCCGCCAGAGGACCCCCUAACUCUGUUUCUAUAAUGUUUCUUCUGAGUAAACAAGCAAAUAAAUUAAAACUUUCAACAACGGAUCUCUUGGCUCUGGCAUCGAUGAAGAACGCAGCGAAAUGCGAUAAGUAAUGUGAAUUGCAGAAUUCAGUGAAUCAUCGAAUCUUUGAACGCACAUUGCGCCCGCCAGUAUUCUGGCGGGCAUGCCUGUUCGAGCGUCAUUACAACCCUCAGGCCCCCGGGCCUGGCGUUGGGGAUCGGCGGAAGCCCCCUGCGGGCACAACGCCGUCCCCCAAAUACAGUGGCGGUCCCGCCGCAGCUUCCAUUGCGUAGUAGCUAACACCUCGCAACUGGAGAGCGGCGCGGCCACGCCGUAAAACACCCAACUUCUGAAUGUUGACCUCGAAUCAGGUAGGAAUACCCGCUGAACUUAAGCAUAUCAAAAAUGGGGAGAGGA